GACGAACGCUGGCGGCGUGCUUAACACAUGCAAGUCGAACGGAAAGGCCCUGCUUUUGUGGGGUGCUCGAGUGGCGAACGGGUGAGUAACACGUGAGUAACCUGCCCUUGACUUUGGGAUAACUUCAGGAAACUGGGGCUAAUACCGGAUAGGAGCUCCUGCUGCAUGGUGGGGGUUGGAAAGUUUCGGCGGUUGGGGAUGGACUCGCGGCUUAUCAGCUUGUUGGUGGGGUAGUGGCUUACCAAGGCUUUGACGGGUAGCCGGCCUGAGAGGGUGACCGGCCACAUUGGGACUGAGAUACGGCCCAGACUCCUACGGGAGGCAGCAGUGGGGAAUAUUGCACAAUGGGCGGAAGCCUGAUGCAGCAACGCCGCGUGCGGGAUGACGGCCUUCGUGUUGUAAACCGCUUUCGCCUGCGACGAAGCGUGAGUGACGGUAAUGGGUAAAGAAGCACCGGCUAACUACGUG
rnacentral:rRNA from 1 species